rnacentral:tRNA from 1 species
GGGCGGAUGGUGAAAUUGGUAGACACGCUAGUCUUAGGAACUAGUGCCGCAAGGCAUGGAGGUUCAAGUCCUCUUCCGCCCA